rnacentral:rRNA from 1 species
UACGUAGGGGGCAAGCGUUGUCCGGAUUUAUUGGGCGUAAAGAGCUCGUAGGCGGUUCAGUAAGUCAGGUGUGAAAUCUUUGGGCUUAACUCAAAGCGUGCACUUGAUACUGCUGUGACUUGAGUUCGGUAGGGGAGUGGGGAAUUCCUAGUGUAGCGGUGAAAUGCGCAGAUAUUAGGAGGAACACCGGUGGCGAAGGCGCCACUCUGGGCCGAAACUGACGCUGAGGAGCGAAAGCGUGGGUAGCAAACAGG